GUUGGGUCCUUCGUACAAGCUGUUUUGCUCGGUCUUGUCGUCAUCUUCACCAACUGGAAACAACAGACGAGAAAGGCGAGAGAAAGGCUGAUGGUUGAGGUGUUUGAAGGUGAAGAAAACGAAGAACAUAAAGAGUUCAGCUAAACCAAGGGACUGUCAGUCACGUGUACAGGAGUUGUGGCAUUCUAUUGUCCACACACAUAUUGAUUUGGCCUUCUCCCUUAUAAUCAGGAUGAUAAACAGUAAUCAUGCUGUGAUAUUAUGAACAGUUUAAGAAAAUUCUACGGAUUUUCUUAUAAGAAAUAUGACUAGUACACAAUUUGGAACUCGUGGAUUCAUAAAACCUUACUUUUAGUUUCCAUCU